UAGAUCUUCAGGAAAAACAUCUAGAAAAUCCCGCACAAUAGGAAUGUCCUUUGAUACUGACUUCUUAGAUUCAUCUCCAGAAAUGAAGGCCAAGUAUCCCUGACAUCCCUUCAGUAAUAGUUGGGUAGCACUCAAGGCUGAAAUAAUAGAAGAAAACUUUUCUUGAAUCCCAAUGAACUUGAAAGGUGGUUGAUCUAGAAGUGAGAAAGUAACAGUCUUCCGAAAACAAUCGAUACUUGCAUGGUAUGCUGAAAGCUAGUCCAUACCCAAGAUAGCGUUGAAAUCUUGAAAUUCUAGUAGAAUAAGAUCUACUAGCAAAUCGUGACUUUCAAUAGUAAUAACACAGUUUCUAUAUAUCUGAUCAACUAUCAAAGAGUUUCCAAUUGGUGCUACUACCAUUAAUGCAUUAUUCAUUGUCUCACGAUUCUUAUGCAAUUUCAUAGCAAAAUAGGGUGAUAUAAAAGAAUGAGUAGAACUAGAAUCAAUAAGCACAUAUGCUGGCAUACCACAGAGUAUGAUGAUACCUUUAAUAAUAGAUCCCGAGGCUUUAGCAAAUUGAUGAGUCAAUGCGUAGACUCUUGCUUGUCCUUCGUCUCUGGGUCAUAGCUGUUGUUGUCCAACUAUUUGGAGUGGAGCUCGACGUUGAUGUUGCUUCCGUGGGCAAUCCUUCGACAUGUGCCCGGGUUGUUGACAAUAAAAACAUACGUGUUGUCCCAUGGGGCAUGAGGUGGAAACAUGAUCUGUCUUCCCACAGAAAUAACAUCUUAUAAAAACUUGAUUGUUAGGAGUUCCUGCUUGUUGAUGCCCAAACUAUUUGCCUUUGCCUUUCUUUAAAGGUCCAGAAUGUGAUCCCCCAUAUGCAGAUGGUGCAGCAUUAAAAGUUCACUUUCGAUCCUUUGCUUGUUGUAAUUCAUUAUACAAUUUCUCCACUACCAGAGCUCGAUUUAACACUUCAGCAUAUGUUGGUAAAAUUAGUACUGCAAUAGACUUUCUAAUUGAUGAUCGAAGUCCUCUCUCAAAAUGACGAACUCUUUGACUUUCAUUAAAAGCAAUAUGUGGAGAGAACUGAGCCAACUCAGUGAAAUGAUGAUCAUAUUCCAUUACAGUUCUAUUUCCAUGGUGGAUGUUAAGGAACUCUUGUUGUUUCUCAAAGCGAACUGAAUCAGGAAAUAACUGCUCAUAAAAUGCAUCUUUAAAUUGCUCCCAAGUUACCACAAUGAAUCCCAAUGAACUUGAAAGGUGGUUGAUCUAGAGGUGAGAAAGUAACAGUCUUCCGAAAAUAAUCGACACUUGCAUGGUAUGCUGAAAGCCAGUCCAUACCCAAGAUAGCGUUGAAAUCUUGAAAUUAUAGUAGAAUAAGAUCUACUAGCAAAUCGUGACUUUCAAAAGUAAUAACACAGUUUCUAU
rnacentral:lncRNA from 1 species